rnacentral:lncRNA from 1 species
CCAAAAUCUUUCUACUCUUCCAAAAUUCCCUUAGCCUAAAAGCCUCCCACCAAAUAUUAAUAGCAAUCCUCUUCCAACAGUGGAACCCCCAAUUUAAAGCUUUACAAAUGUAAAAGUUAGAUUCAUUGGUUAUCCAUUUUCUAAAUGGAUAAUAUGGUCGUUAUCCAUAUUUGACCCAUUUUUAUAAAGUUCAUUAUCCAAUCUAUUUUUUUAGUGGAUAAUAUAGUUGGCUAACUGUUUUCUUUUUAACUAUUUUGGCACCCAACUCCAUUAAUAACUCAUGGAAUUUGACAGUUCUUGUAUUGUUUUCAUAUUUUAGUUAGAAAUCCUUUUCUCCAAAUAUUUUUCCAUGUCAAAAGAGCGACUAAAUGUACACUAGCUUUUAACAGUGGUUAAUGUUUGAUUACCGGUGUUAAAGUUAGCUUUUGGUAAAAGAAAAAUUAGUCGAGCCCUACGUCAUCACAUUGCAGAUGCCGCGCUAAGCCAUGGUGUGAUAAUAUUCACUCUAGAUCACAACCAUAUGCUUUUGCUCAAAAGGCAUCACAUUAAGAGUGUUACUAGAAAAGAAUUGUACAGUUUUCAUUAUGUAGAAGCAUAGGUAG